UCCUGGUUAACCCAGGCAGUCUCAUUAGAGUUCCCACCUCGCGUGUUGGCAACUAAUGAUAAGGGUUGCGCUCGUUGCGGGACUUAACCCAACACCUCACGGCACGAGCUGACGACAGCCAUGCAGCACCUGUACAGAGACCCUUGCGGGAGACCUCAUUUCUGAAGCUGUCCUCUGUAUUUCAAAUCUGGGUAAGGUUCUUCGCGUUGCAUCGAAUUAAACCACAUGCUCCACUGCUUGUGCGGGCCCCCGUCAAUUCUUUUGAGUUUCACCCUUGCGAGCGUACUCCUCAGGCGGUAUACUUAUCGCGUUAGCUUCGACACAGUCAGGGUUGAGCCCAACUACACCAAGUAUACAUCGUUUACGGCAAGGACUAC
rnacentral:misc_RNA from 1 species